rnacentral:sRNA from 1 species
CAAUGGAGGCCGGCCUGGCUGGGAUGGAGAAAAACACUGUUGGGGGAGAUGCAGUGUAGGCUCCAUAUGGGAAGUAACAGGGAGCUACCACAGGUUCUUGAGCAAGGGAGUGACAAGAUAGAAUCCGAUUUUGUAUCUGACUGAGCCUGUAGACCAGGAUGUAUGGGGUUGGGGUGGGGGCGGCACUAGGAAGCUACUUCUUCCAUCUGCUACCAUUCAGCUACAAGCCGUGAGCAAAGCCCGGGGCUGGAUGUGGUUGAGCCAGCGGAGGCAGACCCGGGGCUGUCCUGGUGGAGAAGGGUGUGAGGGCUGCAGGUGUGCAGCAAUGGAGAGGAUAGUGCUGGCCCUACUUGCUGGAAGGGACAGUGGUGACUCUAGGCUGGGGAGCUCUGAGGGAGGUGCCCUGCUCUGAGGAGGCACAGCUACACAUUAUGGAGGCCUGAUCUGAGGCGGGAGACAUAGCAGGACCCUCAGGUUGAGCUCCCCAAGCCACAAACACUGGGGGAGCUUUUCCAGGGCGGGCAGAGGCCAGAACUGAAGCGGGGGUCGUGGCUCCAUGGCCAGCCCCCUCUGAGGUGAUCACACCUGCAGAGACGAGGAGGAGCUGAGACGCUCUCUGUCUGAGUUGGCCGACCCCAACCCCAAGGUCAUCAAGCGGAUCAGCGGGGGCAGUGGCAGUGGCUCCAGCCCUUUCCUGGACCUGACUCCCGAGCCCGGGGCUGCCGUCUACAAGCACGGGGCCCUGGUGCGAAAGGUGCACGCAGACCCUGACUGCAGGAAGACACCUCGGGGCAAGCGGGGCUGGAAGAGCUUCCACGGGAUCCUCAAGGGCAUGAUCCUCUACCUGCAGAAGGAGGAGUACAAGCCUGGGAAGGCCCUUUCAGAGACGGAGCUCAAGAAUGCCAUCAGCAUCCACCAUGCCCUGGCCACUCGUGCCAGUGACUACAGCAAGAGGCCCCACGUCUUCUACCUG